rnacentral:misc_RNA from 1 species
AUCUCUCAAAAACACAUUUGUUUUGGAUAUUGGGAGUCAUUGCUGGCGGCUAGCUCAGCUCUCCUUAAAUUCCUUGAGGAUGAAAUGUUUGGUGUGUGAUAAUUGUCUAUGCCAAAGAAGUAGUCCCUUUUCUAUCUUUAAU